CUCUCCCUCUUUCUCAUUCGCUCCCUCUUACUCUUUCCUCACGUGACGUCUACCAGCCUUCCCUCCAGACGUAUCGCAUCUCCACGCUGAGAUUUCCAAACUGGCGCGUAGAUAAGCUGGUGUUGCAUCCCUCCUGGGGACUCGUGGCCGGUUGCAGUCGAAUGCACUGUCUGCAUCGUUGAGAAGCUCUGCAAACGAACCACAGCUCGUAAUGGCGCAGGAGUAAUUCUCCGUAUCCAACGCUAUUCCACAUUGCAACUUGCGAGCAAGCCGAAGCACACUCGGUUCACGGGACAUUCAUCAUUCCGACGCCUGUUAGUAGCGCGAAAUGCUCUACCGCUGGUCUAAUCUUGUGCUCAUAAAUAAGAUAACAAUUUUUCAUCCCUUCUUAGCGCCGUUACUUGGGGACGCGCCCACAAGGAAACGGUGGUGAACGAACAAGGGGGAGGACGCAGAGCGCAGUAGGGAGAGAGAGCUGAGGCAGACAGAAAACGGAAAAGUUUGUAACCCUCGUUACUGGGUAUCGAGUUCCAAUUAGAUGACGAUCGCAUUUCCAGUAGCAGAGUCAGAAGACGUUUUUGCGUGUACCUGAGACGAACGGUCGAUUGCCGACUUACCUCAUCCUCCCCUGGGUAAAUCAAACGGACACUAAUUCACGGCGUUUGGGGGAUUUCUCUGACUCUCCAAGAUCAUUAUCCGUGCGAAAACCGCAAUCGUCACAAGCGUUUUAUGCUGAUUAUCACACUGAAUUUUUUUGUCGAUGGUAACUCACAUUAUUUCUAAAUCAUUUCGAAUAUAAAGUCGUAUUUAGAUGUUAUAACGCUGUCAAUUAUGUGUAAAAAAUUUUAGAAAAAAAAA